rnacentral:rRNA from 1 species
GCCUACGGGGCGCAGCAGUAGGGAAUAUUGCCCAAUGGGGGAAACCCUGAAGCAGCAACGCCGCGUGGAGGAUGAAGGUUUUCGGAUUGUAAACUCCUUUUGUUAGAGAAGAUAAUGACGGUAUCUAACGAAUAAGCACCGGCUAACUCCGUGCCAGCAGCCGCGGUAAUACGGAGGGUGCAAGCGUUACUCGGAAUCACUGGGCGUAAAGAGCGCGUAGGCGGGAUAGCAAGUCAGAUGUGAAAUCCUAUGGCUUAACCAUAGAACUGCAUUUGAAACUGUUAUUCUAGAGUAUGGGAGAGGUA